UACGGGGGGGGGCAAGCGUUGUUCGGAAUUACUGGGCGUAAAGGGCUCGUAGGUGGCCAACUAAGUCAGACGUGAAAUCCCUCAGCUUAACUGGGAACGUGCGUCUGAUACUGGAUGGCUUGAGUUUGGGAGAGGGAUGCGGAAUUCCAGGUGUAGCGGUGAAAUGCGUAGAUAUCUGGAGGAACACCGGUGGCGAAGGCGGCAUCCUGGACCAACACUGACACUGAUGAGCGAAAGCGUGGGGAGCGAACAGG
rnacentral:rRNA from 1 species